CUAUCAUAAAAAAAAUCAUUUAGCUUAUCCGGAGAUUCUUUCACGCUCUCACAUGUCUCUCCCCACUCCUCCGUCUUCUACUUGGAUUUCUUCACCCACCAUUUCUCUUUGAUCGGCCCUCUCUCGACAAAAAGGGAAUGACAAUAAUAAAUUGUUUUGGCAUAUGCAAUGUGAGAUGAGGAAGAUAAAGUCACAAACUUUAUUCCAUAGAGCAUGCUACUAGUUUUUUUGGCACAUACAAUUGUUUUAGGAUAUAUGUUUAAUAAUCAAAAUUGUCUAUGGCAGGGUGCUAUUACUUUUACUUUUGGAGCAUGCUACUAAUAUUUAUACAAUUACAAGGUAGGAUUCUCAUGUAUGGGUGAAGCUUAUUUUCUGAGACAACGCUAAAAUCACUAGAGUUUGAGGCAAAGUAUAUACAGCUGGAGUUUGAAUGAUAUAUUUGUUGUGUUAGUCUGAUUAAUUUUUAGAUUAUUGGUUCUGAAAUGAAAAGUAGUAAAAGUAUUAGUGUUGCUUUUGUUUUAUUUUGCCUUCCCGUGGUGGAAAAUUAAAGGAAUUGAAAUGGAAUCAU